GCCGGGGGGCGGAGUCUGCGCUGAGUGAAGAGGUGCCAGAAUCCGCGAAGAGGGUCGACGAAUGCGCUGCCGCGGAGGUGGGCCAAAUAAUCAUGGCAACAGGACUUUUAGAAGCACGUCCUCUGAAAGCCAUUUUCUGCCUGUGGUUGGAAAGGGACUGUGAGUCUUUCCUCAGGAAGUCAGUAGCCCUACCUGGUGAGGUGAUCAAGAGUUUGCUAGCACAAGAGAUGAAGGUAUACAGUUCAAUGAACUUUGACAAAUUUAAGUGAAGCAGUUGCCAUCACAAUCAAGAUACAUACAUACAGAAAAUUUCCAUAAUCUCAAAAGUUUCCUUCAAGUUCCUUUGUAGAUAAUCCCAUCUCCCUUCCCUAGAAACCAUUGGUAUGAUUUAUUUUCAUCUAGUUUUGCUUUUUCUAUAAUGUCAUAUAAAUAAA
rnacentral:lncRNA from 10 species